GGUCGUUUAGCUCAGCUGGGAGAGCACCUCCCUUACAAGGAGGGGGUCACUGGUUCGAKCCCAGUAACGACCACCA
rnacentral:tRNA from 1 species